AUAUUGAACAAUGGGCGAAAGCCUGAUCCAGCCAUGCCGCGUGUGUGAAGAAGUUCUUCGGAUUGUAAAGCACUUUAAGUUGGGAGGACGUGGUUGAAUCUAAUACCUUCAAUCUUUGACGUUACCACCAGAAUAAGCACCGUCUAAUUCUGUGCAAGCAGCCGCGGUAAUACAGAGGGAGCAAGCGUUAAUCGGAAUUACUGGGCGUAAAGCGCGCGUAGGUGGUUCAGUAAGAUGGAAGUGAAAUCACCGGGCUUAACCUGGGAACUGCUUUCAUAAAUGCUGAGCUAGAGUACGGUAGAGGGUAGUGGAAUUUCCUGUGUAGCGGUGAAAUGCGUAGAUAUAGGAAGGAACACCAGUGGCGAAGGCGACUACCUGGACUGAUACUGACACUGAGGUGCGAAAGCGUGGGGAGCAAACAGG
rnacentral:rRNA from 1 species